CCUGAUCCAAUCACAGUGCUUCCCCAUAGGAUUGGCUGAGACUGACAAAGAGGCAGAUCAGAGUCAGAGCCAGCAUGAUUCAAACACUGCCCUGGCCAAUCAGCAUCUCCUUAUAGAGAUGAAUUGAAUUAAUGAAUCUCUAUGAGGAAAGUUCAGUGUCUGCAUGCAGAGGGAGGAGACACUGAAUGUUUGGAUGCAUUUUAGGC